rnacentral:rRNA from 1 species
UACAGGGGGUGCAAACGUUGCUCGGAAUCAUUGGGCGUAAAGCGCACGUAGGCGGUUCGUUAUGUCGGAUGUGAAAGCCCUUGGCUUAACCGAGGAAGUGCAUCCGAAACUGGCGAGCUAGAGUACGAAAGAGGAUCGCGGAAUUCCCGGUGUAGAGGUGAAAUUCGUAGAUAUCGGGAGGAACACCGGUGGCGAAGGCGGCGAUCUGGGUCGGUACUGACGCUGAGACGCGAAAGCGUGGGGAGCGAACAGG